rnacentral:rRNA from 1 species
CUUGGCUGAUCCUGCUAGUAGUCAUAUACUUGUCUUUAAAAUUAAACAAUACAAGUGUAAGUAUGAACUGAUUUAGACUAUUAAACUAUGAAUAGUCAUUAAAUCUUUUGUUUAAUGGUAUCUACUACUCGGGUAACCAUAAUAAUUCUAGAGCUAAUACGUGCAACAAACCCUAACUUUUGGAAAGGAUGCAUUUAUUAGAUAAAAGGUCAAUAUGGGCUUUGCCCAUUGCUCUAAUGAUUCAUGAUAACUCAAUGGAUCACACAGCCUUUGUGCCAAUGACCCAUCAUUCAAAUUUUUGACCAAUCAACUUUUGAUGGUAGGAUAACGUCCUACUAUGGUAGUGAUGGGUGAUGAAGAGUGGUCAAUUUUGAAGAGGGAGCUUGAGAAACAGCUACCAUAUCCAAGGAAGGUAGUAGGUGCUUAAACUACCUAGUCCUGACAUGGGACAAUAAAUAACAAUACCAUGCUCUAUGAGCCUAGUAAUUGGAAUGAGUACAAUCUAAAUCCUUUAAUAAAGAUCCAUUGGAAGGCAAGUCUAGUGCCAAUAGCCACAGUAAUUCUAGCUUUAAUAGUGAAUAUUUAAGUUGUCAUAGUUAAAAAGCUUGUCAUUGGGACUAGGGUUGGGUCAUGCUAUCUGCCUUAUAGUGAGCACCGGUCUACUUAUCCUUACUGCUGGUGAUGUACUUUUGGCCUUAAUUGGCUGAGUCAUUCCUUCAGCAUUGUUUAUUUGAAAAAAUUACAGUGCUCAAAGCAUGCCUACAUUUGUAUACAUUAUCAUGGGAUAACAUCGUAUGAUUUUGAUCCUAUGUGUUGGCUUUCAAGAUCAGAGUAAUGAUUAAUAGGGACAAUUGAGGGCAUUUGUAUUUCAUAGUCAGAGGUGUAAUUCUAGGAUUUAUGAAAGAUGAACAACUACAAAAGCAUUUGCCAAGGAUAUUUUCAUUAAUCAAGAACAAAAGUUAGAGGUUUAAAGAUGAUUAGAUAUUGUCCUAGUUUCAACCAUAAAUAAUGCCAACUAGGGAUCAACAGAUGUUACUUUUAGGCCUUUGCCGACACCUUAUGAGAAAUCAAAGCUUUGGGUUUUGAGGGGAGUAUGGUCACAAGGUUGAAACUUAAAGACAUUGACAGAAGGGCACCACCAUGAGUGGAGCUUCUAGCUUAAUUUGACUUAACAUGGGGAAACUUACCAUGUCCAUACAUAGUAAAGACUGACAAACUAAGAGCUUUUUCUUGAUUUUAUGAGUGUUGGUGCAUGGCCAUUCUUAGUUGGUGGAGCAAUUUGUUUGGUUAAUUCUAUUAAUGAAUGAGACUUAAGCCUACUAACUACCUAUGCAGAGGUGAUCCUUUGUGGCUAGCUUCUUAGAGGGACUAUGGCCACUUAGGCCAAGGAAGUUUGAGGUAAUAAUAGGUCUAUGAUGCCCUCAGAUGUUCUGGGCUACAUGCACACUACACUAAUGUAUUUAAUGAGUCUACACCCUUGGCUGACAAGCUCGAGUAAUCUUUAAAAUUUCAUUAUGAUGGGGAUAGGUGAACCUGCGAAGGAUCAUUGUUGAAACCCAAUAAACCUUAUCAUUUAGAGGAAGGAGAAGUUCUAACAAGGUUUUAUAGGUGAACCUGCAAAAAGAUCAUUG